rnacentral:rRNA from 1 species
UACGUAGGGACCGAGCGUUGUCCGGAAUCAUUGGGCGUAAAGAGCGUGUAGGCGGCUAUUUAAGUCCUGCGUGAAAUCCUGCGGCUCAACCUCAGACGGUCGUGGGAAACUGGAUGGCUAGAGUGCGGGAGAGGAGAGUGGAAUUCUCGGUGUAGCGGUGAAAUGCGUAGAUAUCGAGAGGAACACCUGCGGCGAAGGCGGGUUGCUGGGCUGAUACUGACGCUGAGGCGCGAAAGCUAGGGGAGCGAACGGG